rnacentral:rRNA from 1 species
AUGAAAGGGAGCAGCCUGGUGUUCGUGGUUGCCCUCUUGUUCGUCGGGAGCCUCGUGUUCGGAGAAUGUCGUCAUGUAAGCUACGAAGACCGUCGUGCCAAUGUAACCGCAAAUGCUACUACCGCGGAUUUGGCAUCAAGCGGGAGCAAAAUCUCAGUGAAUUGGUGCUACAGAAGGGACUGCAACAGUAGAAACAGUCAGUUCUAUUGGCAUCAGUGCUGGUGCUGCCCCUUGUUGCCCGACGAACUGUGCUGGAAACAUGUGGAAGAAUGCCAUGCAAUGUGCCCGACAUGCCAUCCGAAAUGCUAA